UCCGCCUGGUAUAUAAGGGCCGAAUGGCCCGGCCGGCUACAGAGCGCGCAGCCGGCGCGGGUGCGCGGUACGGAGCGGGUAGCCUGAGGACCGGGCCACCGAGGCUGGCAUUUCUUGUUCUGCGCUUCUGCCCAAGGACCCUAUGCUAGGCAGGCGCCCACCGUAAGCCUCCCAGGCCUUGUGAACCUACAAACCCAAGUCGGAGAGACGAUCCGCCUUCGGCGCUUUCCGGCUUGGCAGAGGGGUUUUCCUGGCGGGGAUCUUUGGUUUGCGCUGGCGAUGCGUGGGGAAGAAAGGCGAGGAGCGGCGUCCAGGCUGGGUGCUGUCCCAGCGCGAGGAGGCGGGAUGCGCUCGCGGGGUCCGCGGGGCAUCUGGUCCCCGCCGGCGUCGCGCGCCCACCCUUGGGGAAGAGAAUGCGGCCGCUUGGGGACCCCCGCCCCCGACCUCCUCCAGUCUGGAGCGCAGAGGACAGGGUCAGGACCAGGCGCUUUGGCCUUGGAUGGAAAGUGGGGAAUUGGGUGGGGGGCUGCGGAUCCCUUAACGUGGAUUACUUGGUGUGUAUCAGCUGGGCUCAGAAGACCCAGGACCUCCUCUCCGUCCGUGGAUUGAUUGGUUCUACUUAACAGCUGGGUCGCCAAGUUGGAGGCGGAAUCAGAGGUUUCUGGCUGACUCAGUGGGUGCUUUGUACCAGGAAAGGACAAGAAAGAGGAUGGGAAGGAGGACUGAUCCACGUUCCCACCAGGAAGCUUAGUGGAACCCCCGUAUGCCACCUGGACCCCCUGGAAGGACCUGGCCAAGGCUGAACCACCUCUUGAGAGGCAAGAGCUCCGGAUUUGAUCAAAAAUUCUUGGCUGGGCAUGGUGCCUCAUGCCUAUAAUCCCAACACUUUGGGAAACCGAGGUGGGAGGAUCGCUUGAGCCUGGGAGUUCAAGACCAGCCUGGGCAACAUAAGGAGACCCCAUCUCUAAAAAAUAGUAAUAAUAAAAUAAAAAAUUAGCAGGGCAUGGUGGCAUGUGCCUCUAGUCCCAGCUACCCAGGAGGCUGAGGCAAGAGAAUGGCUGGAGCCUGGGACAUUGAGGCUGCAAUGAACUGUGAUUACCCCACUGCACUCCAGCCUGGGCAACAGAGCGAGAGACCCUGUCUCAAAAUAAUAAUAAUAAUAAUCUUAUUUUGGAGAAUAAAGGAAACCUCUGGAUUUGAGGAGCCAUUUGGGUAGAAAGCAAAGACCUUCACAAUGAGAAAUAGUCUGUGUUCACCUGAAGGAACAGAGGGAUGCAUCGCUGGAGGUGACCUACAGUUGGAGAAGACUCAUUAUGCCAGACCUUGUCCUUCUUCCUUGUGGAAAAUGUUUCCUCUGCUGCUACUGCUCAUGAGACUCUUCCCCCUCCCUGUCUCAGGCAACCAAAGGGCUUUCUACCACACCCUUUCUUGCCCCCCGCCUCCCAUGUCUGCUGUGCCUUUGUACUCAGCAAUUCUUGUUUGCUCCAUUAUCUUCCAGCCGGAUACAGAGUGAAUAGUUAACCACACUUAGGUCAAAUAGGAUCUGAAUUUUUGUUCCUGCUCCGUCUAAAGAGGCCAGUGUUUGUGCGUUGCAAGCAGCCUUGGAAUAGCAACUCUUCUCAUUUGUUUGGGAUCUCAUUGUAUUCCUCAGCCAUCAAGUUCCAGAAUGAUACAUGGAUCAGUGCAGAAGUUCAUCAGGCUCUCGGACCUUAGGGCCGUUGGAGAAGCCUUCAGCAGGGGAACUGAUGGUGAAGGCUGGUAUUCUCCAUCCUCAACUUUCUUUGCUUGGAUCACACAUAAGUAUACAUUUGGAAGGGCAAAAAAAUGAACACUCUUGUUCAUUGCAGCCAUGUUUUGUGACACAGAUGCACAGUCUGCUGUGAAGACCUUCUCGCAAGUGGCAGUUGGGGGUCCAUGCCAGAUCAUGGUGCUUCACGACAGACUAACAGCUACCAGGGAUGGUGGCACUUAGUGAGGACCCUCCUCCCCCACUGUGUGCUGAUGACACAUACACACCUGACAAUAGCUUGAGUCUUCUCUGUUCUUUUUACUCUGUGGCCACCAUACACAUGAUUUAAAACCCUUCCUAAAUAUCUAUCAUGGUUCACCCUUGUUCAAAUGCAGAGUCAAAGCUACUUGUACUUUAUUAUUAUUUCCAAGGCACAUAGAUGGCUUGCUUUUUACAAAAAGAAUUAAAGCUUUUGUAUGUUGCAGUU